rnacentral:lncRNA from 1 species
ACCAAAAGAGGUUCUUGAUACCGGUGUGGUUUUUAAACCAUCCUUCAUUUCAAGAUUUGCUAGGCAUGUCACAAGAAGAGUUCGGAUAUAGUCAUCCUACUGGCGGUCUGAUAAUUCCCUGCAACGAAAACACAUUUCUCAAAGUUACCUCUCGCAUGUAUUGAUUGUGAGAUGAUUAACACAAACCAGCCAAUACAAUUUUGUAAAGCAAAAAUCACUAAUUCAUGUAUAAUUUUUUUUUCUCCAUCAUUUUUGCCUUGUGGAGAUGAUAUAAGUCUCCCCAAGUGGAAAACUAAAGACGGUGAUUACUGUAACACUCCUAUCAAUCAGUAAUGAUAGUUCAAAACACUUCAUUCAGCUGUUAUCUUAUUUUCUUUCUGAAUUUUUACUCGUUCGCAUUAAUUCCAUCUUAAUAUAAACUGUAAAUGAUCUACCUUGUUCUAAGAUUACUUCAAACUACAUGCUAAGUUAUUUGGAGUUGGACCCUUCAUUUUCGUUCGAUUUCGUGUGUCCAACACAUAUCCAAACUUAAGUACAAAGUCUAGCUAAGAUAGAUUACAAGUAGUCUUUUUCAUGGCAGUGGCUUAUUAAACGAUCAAUUUGGUGUUAUAAAUUUCAAAGUAAUUUUCUUAAUAUAGAUUUGACAAAGAAUUAAGAUAUAUAAAGAUGUGAGACAGGGGACUAAGUGAUUAAUACAACAAAGCGAAUGAUAAAAGAUUUUAAAGAAAAAAAGAGAAAAGCAAAAGAGAGAUAAGUUCAUGAUACAUACUGAUUAGUUUUAUCGGAAAGUAAAGUUGCCUAAUAUGGACCUCUUUCCCACAUCAUUCUUUUUACUUAUUUGGUUCUAUGUAAUAUGGAUAAUCAACAUUGCUAAAAUUCAAGAAAAUCUUCAAAUAAUCUAAACUCCAAUCAUGUAUAUGGAAACAAAUAUACAAAGGACUGAAUGUAACAUCAAAUAUGUUCACACUAAGCAGAUUAUUAUCCAAAAGGUGACGGCAGUUGCAUAAAUAACCAAAGGCCAUCUUGUUGUUUAUGUAGGUGUGUUAAGUUUAGUUCCCAUGCAAAGGUGGCCAUGCACGACAUGCAAAGGUGGUCAUGCUUCUGGAAUCGCAGCAGGCAGUAGUGCCAUGGUGUGCAGCAAGCUGAAGCUAUCCAUUUAGUUUCCUUAAUUGAAUGUCUUGUAUUUAGUUAGGAUCAAACUUAGUUGGUAGCUGCAUUUUGAUGUAAUUAGGUGCUGAAUGACAAGUUUAGGUAGAAGCUUUUUGUUUUUCAAUCAAGUUUACCAAGUUACUAGGCAAUUUAGUGGUGUUAGGUAUGUUAUUAGGUGAUUACUUGUUUGUUUUACUUGUUGACUGAUAUAUGUAAUGGCUUAAUGCCUUGUUGGUUUGCUUAAUGAAAGAUAUCAGCUCAUUUUCAUUCAAUCUUUUUCUCUCUUUUCUGUUUUCACUUGCUAGCUUCAUCUUUCUGUUUUCUGCUUCCGAGUUUGCUUCUUCACCAAGCCUCGAGGCUUACUACUCAAGCAAGACUAGAAACAGCUUGCUGCUGCCUCUUGCACCAACAAUUGGUAUCGAGAGCUCUUGUCUUAGUGGACCUGUUGCUUCAAAACAAAGAACUUGAUGGCUUCUUCAGGAUUUUCACCAGCAGCCCCACCAGUCUUCAAUGGAGAAGGCUUUCACAUAUGGCUGGUCAAGAUGAAGACUUACCUACAGGCCUUCGAUCUGUGGGAAGUUGUCAACACAGAUACUGAGCCAGCACCACUGAGGGCUAAUCCCACAGUAGCUCAGAUUAGGCAACAUGCUGAUGAGAGGACCAAAAGGCACAAAGCCAUGUCCUGCAUCCAGAACUGUGUGUCAGAUGUCAUCUUCACCAGAAUUAUGGCCUGUGAGACUCCAAAACAGGCCUGGGAUAAGCUCAAGGAGGAGUUUCAAGGCACUGAGAGAACAAGGCAACAGCAGCUGUUAAACUUGAGAAGGGAUUUCGAGAAUUUGAAGAUGAAGGAAGAAGAAACAGUGAAGCAGUACUCAGAUAGAAUUAUGGCAGUGGUUAACAGCAUAAGGCUCCUAGGUGAGCACUUUGAUGAGGCAAGAAUUGUAGAGAAAGUCCUCUCCACCUUGCCUGAGAGAUAUGAGGCCAAGAUAUCCUCUCUAGAGGACUCAAGAGACCUUGCUAGCAUCUCUUUGACUGAGCUAAUCAACACCUUUUAUGCUCAGGAACAAAGAAGAGCUAGCAGAGCUGAAGAUCACCAAGAAGGUGCAUUUCAAGCCAAGGCCAGAGAAACCUCGAGCACUAAUGCUCAAAGAGGCAAAAGGCCUUGGAAAAACAGGCCUAAGCCUGAUGCUGCAAGGAGCAAUGACCAGCCCUGCAGAUAUUGCAAGAAACCUGGCCAUCCAGAAGACAUAUGCUGGUUUAGGCCAGAUGCAGUUUGCCAACACUGCAAGAAGAAGGGCCACGUUGAAAGGGUCUGCAAAAACAGAAGUAAGCCAAGGCAGAAUCAAUUUCAAAAGUCAAAGGUUGAAGCUCGAGUAGCUGAGGACAGUAGUGACCAAGAAGAACAGGUCUUUGCUGUUUCCUGUGUAGCUUCUGAGAAGAAAUGCUCUAAAGGCUGGUUGCUGGACAGUGGUUGCACUAACCACAUGUCACCAGAUGCCUCCUUGUUUAAAACCUUGGACAAAAGUUAUAAAACCAAGGUCAAUGUUGGAAAUGGUCAGUUUAUAAGGGCUGAAGGAAGAGGAGAAGUGCUGAUAUGUACUCCCACAGGCAACAAGAUCAUUCCAAAUGUGCUGUUGGUACCACAGAUUGACAGAAACCUUCUCAGCAUAGCUCAACUGCUUGAGAAAGGUUAUUCUGUUGUGUUCAAGGAUAAACAAUGCCAUAUUACUGAUCCAAGUGGAUCAAGCCUUAUGACAGUCACAAUGACUGAUAAAUGUUUUGAGGUUCACUGGGCAAAUGACUCAAACUCAGCAUACACAGCCUCUGUUGAAGACUCCAAGCUUUGGCAUCAAAGGCUUGGACAUGCCAACUUCAGAUCAAUAGCUCGAUUGGCCAAAGAGGGCUUGGCAGAGAACUUCAUCAGCUCAGUGGAGCAUGAUGAUGUGUGUGAAGUUUGCCAAAUGGGGAAACAGGCAAGACUGCCAUUUCCUACAAAUUUAACCUGGAGAGCUACUGAAAGACUGCAGCUGGUGCACUCUGAUGUAUGUGGCCCGAUGAGGACUGAAUCACUCAGCAAAAACAGGUAUUUCAUCCUCUUUAUUGAUGACCUUACAAGGUUUUGCUGGAUUUUCUUUUUAAAACACAAGUCUGAGGUAGCUCAAGUGUUUGUGAAGUUUAAAAAUGCUGUAGAAACAGAAAUAGGUUGCAAGCUGAAAUCGAUAAGGACUGAUAAUGGCACUGAGUACACUUCAGCUCAGUUUCAAGCCAUUUGCAAUGAUGCUGGUAUCAAACAUCAGCUUACAAAUGUCUACACACCUCAGCAGAAUGGGGUAGCUAAAAGAAAGAAUAGAAGUCUGAUGGAUAUGGCCAGAUGUCUGCUGUUUGAGAAGAAACUGCCCAAGACCAUGUGGGCUGAGGCAGUAAACACUGCUGUUUACCUUCAGAACAGGCUUCCAACAAAAGCUCUUGCAUCCGAGACACCUUUCGAGGCUUGGUCUGGUUUCAAGCCUUCCUUAGCACAUUUGAAGGUGUUUGGUUGCCUGUGUUAUGCACAAAUACCAGCAGCAAAGAGAGACAAGCUCUCUAAAAGGGCUCAACCAGGUGUUCUAGUAGGCUACAGCUCAGUCAAGAAGGGCUACAGGGUUCUGGAUCCCUUGAUAAACAAAGUCCAGGUGAGAAGAGAUGUCAUCUUUGAUGAAAAAGCCUGCUAGAAUUGGGAGAAAAAUGAGCCAGAAGCAGUUUCAGAAGACCUAGUGCCUAACCAAGCUGAACUUGAGCAGCUAGGACCUGAAAUGGAUGUCGAUGAUGUGCCUGUGAGAGGCACAAGGCCCCUAGAUGAUAUUUAUGAAAGGGCACAGGUUGCAAUAGCAGAACCUAGCAGCUUUGAAGAGGCUGAGGCAGAUGAAGGCUGGAAACUAGCUAUGAUCAAUGAAAUCAACAUGAUUGAAAAGAAUCAGACAUGGGAGCUUGUUGAUAAACCUGCUGAAAAGAAGACCAUUGGAGUAAAAUGGGUCUAUCGAGUAAAACAGAAUGCAGAUGACAGUCUGAACAAGCUAAAAGCCAGGCUUGUUGUCAAAGGAUUUAGCCAAAGGUAUGGUCUGGACUACCUGGAGACAUUUGCACCAGUAGCCAGGCUUGACACAGUUAGAAUGAUAGUUGCCUUGGCUGCUCAACAUCAGUGGACCAUUCAUCAGCUUGAUGUUAAGUCUGCAUUUCUCAAUGGCUUCCUGGAAGAAGAGAUCUACAUCGAGCAGCCUCAAGGAUUUGUGAUCACUGGCAAAGAACACUUAGUGUACAGACUGAAAAAGGCUUUAUAUGGCCUGAAACAAGCUCCUCGAGCCUGGUAUGCUCGAAUUGACUCUUACUUGCUCAGUUUGGAAUUUGAAAGAAGUCCCAGUGAACCAACACUGUAUGUGAAGAAGAACCAAGCUCAAACUCAGCUUAUUCUGUCACUCUAUGUUGAUGAUCUACUGAUAACUGGAGGAGAUGAAAGAAUGCUGGAAGAUUUUAAAAGAAAAAUGAUGGAAAUGUUUGAAAUGUCUGAUUUGGGCAGAAUGAACUACUUUCUUGGAAUGGAAGUGAACCAAACAGAAAAGGGAAUCUUUCUUUGUCAGAGUUCUUUUACUAUGAAGAUCCUGGACAAGUUCUCUAUGAAGAACUGCAAGCCAACAAGCACACCAAUGGCUGUUGGAGUGAAGCUUUCAAGGCAAGGUAGUGGUGAACCAAUUUGUGAGACCAUGUACAAGAGUCUCAUUGGCAGUCUGUUGUAUUUGACUGCCACAAGGCCCGAUAUCAUGUUUGCUGUUAGUAUGCUAUCAAGAUACAUGAAUUGCUGCAAUGAUCAGCACUUUCGAGCAGCUAAAAGAGUGCUGAGAUACAUCAAAGGCACCAUUGGUCAUGGUGUAUUGUUCAAAAGGGCCAAAAACAUGAAGUUAACAGGCUAUGUUGAUAGUGACUGGGCUGGAUCAAGUGAUGACAUGAGAAGCACAUCCGGAUAUGCAUUCAGUCUUGGCUCAGAUAUGUUUUGCUGGAGUUCUAAGAAACAAAGUCUGGUGGCACAGUCAACAGCAGAAGCUGAAUAUGUUGCUGCUGCAUCUGCUGUGAACCAAGCCAUAUGGCUUAGAAAAAUCUUGACUGAUUUAAACCAAAACCAAAAGGAGGCAACAGAGAUUUAUUGUGACAACAAAUCUGCUGUUGCAAUUGCAAAAAAUCCCAUUUUUCAUGGCAGAACCAAGCACUUUAAUAUUAAGUUGCAUGUUAUAAGGGAGAUGGAACAAGCUCAUGAAAUCGAGCUGAUUCAUUGCAAUUCAGAAGUGCAAAUUGCUGAUAUCUUCACAAAGGCACUCAAUGUGUCUAAAUUUGUUAAAUUCAAAAGGGAAUUAGGUGUUACUAGCAUGGAAACUAAGGAGGAGUGUUAAGUUUAGUUCCCAUGCAAAGGUGGCCAUGCACGACAUGCAAAGGUGGUCAUGCUUCUGGAAUCGCAGCAGGCAGUGGUGCCAUGGUGUGCAGCAAGCUGAAGCUAUCCAUUUAGUUUUCUUAAUUGAAUGUCUUGUAUUUAGUUAGGAUCAAACUUAGUUGGUAGCUGCAUUUUGAUGUAAUUAGGUGCUGAAUGACAAGUUUAGGUAGAAGCUUUUUGUUUUUCAAUCAAGUUUACCAAGUUACUAGGCAAUUUAGUGGUGUUAGGUAUGUUAUUAGGUGAUUAUUUGUUUGUUUUACUUGUUGACUGAUAUAUGUAAUGGCUUAAUGCCUUGUUGGUUUGCUUAAUGAAAGAUAUCAGCUCAUUUUCAUUCAAUCUUUUUCUCUCUUUUCUGUUUUCACUUGCUAGCUUCAUCUUUCUGUUUUCUGCUUCCGAGUUUGCUUCUUCACCAAGCCUCGAGGCUUACUACUCAAGCAAGACUAGAAACAGCUUGCUGCUGCCUCUUGCACCAACAAGGUGAAUCCCAAAAGAGGCGGGUUUAUAAUUCCAGUUUCAUUAUUAAAGAACCCUUUAUUUCAAGAACUGAUAAAUCAGGCUGAAGAGGAGUUUGGCUUUGAAUCAUCCAAGGGGUAGUCUCACAGUCCCAUGUGCAGAAGAAGCCUUCAUUGAACUUUCUUGUAGUUUGAAUAGCUUUCUGACUUUGACCUGACAUCUUAUCUCCCCAAUAUAAUAAUGAAUAGUAAAAAAUGUGCAGAGAACAGAACAAAAAUACCACUAGAAUGUGAACUAAAGCAGAUUUAUUUGUAAUGUUAUCCAUAUACAUAUAGCAGCACAUACCAGAAAUCUAGUGAGCUGUCAAGCUGAAUAUUGUCUUCACCCCUAUAGAACUAUAUGAUUGCAGCACGGAAUAGACAACUAACCUGGAUAAAAUGCAACAAGUUGGGUUCAGAUAAGGAGUUGUUGUAGUCUGUAGGACGCAUUUUAGGCGCUCUUCACAAGGGAUUGUCUUACAAGUUUUAUGUGAGGUCAAGGACACCCAUGUUACUUGUUCUCUAUCAUUGCAUGACAGAUUGUAUGUAUCUAAAUGUUGCUCUAAUGUCAAUGGUGAAGUAAUAAAAAUCUUCUACUAGGUAGAAGCUUUUACGGAUCCAAAUCUUCCAUAUCUGAGUAGGUCCUUAGUCGGUUCAUUUUGCCAGCAAGGUAGGAAAAGUAUUCUUUCAAGUCUUAGCCAUGGAAUUCUUGAUAAUGCUUUGGAAGACAACACCAUGUGAUUCCCCGUGAGCCCAUGUCUUUCUCUUUACGGAUCAGACCCCAGCAAUUUCACCUUCACCACUCAUUCCACAUCCCCCGCUUAAUAAUAGAUGAACAUGAUUUCCUCUCUGCCCUACACAUCUAUAUAUACAAGUAAGAGUAAGUUCAUUGGCAACACCUAGUUCAUUGGCAACACCUCCCUUCAACAUUCUCAAGCUUGCUUUCCAAGUUAUCUUAUAUCUUCCUUUUCUUCCCUUUGAAGCAUACAUUCAUCAAAAACAACAAUGGCUAUCUGCCUGCCUCGUAUUGUCAGCUCUAAGAAAGUUCCCGAAGGCUACUUUGCAGUUUAUUUUGGAGAAAACCAGAAGAGGUUCGUGAUACCAGUUUCAUUCUUGAACCAUCAUUCAUUUCAAUAUUUUCUAGGCAUGUCAUAAGAAGAGUUCAGAUAUAGUCAUCCUACCGGUGGUCUGACAAUUCCCUGCAACGAAGACACCUUUCUCGAAGUUACCUCUCGCAUGUAUUGAUUGUGAGAUGAUUAACACAAACUAGCCAAUACAAUUUUGUAAAGCAAAAAUCACUAAUACAUGAGAACAUUUUUUCCUCCAUCCUUUUUGCCUUGGGGAGCUGAUAUAGGUCUCCCCAAGAGGAAAAGUAAAGAUGGUGAUUACUGUAACACUACUAUCAAUUCAGUAAUGAUAGAUCCAAACACAUCAUUCAGUUGUCAUUUUAUUUCCAUUCUGAAAUUUUUACUUGUUUUACGUCAAUUCCAUCUCUACCUUAAUCUAAAAUUACUUCAUACUACAAUCUAAGUUAAAUGGAGAAGCAGUAGAGUACAACUGUUCUAAUUUGACAGUUCAAAACACAUCAUUCAAUUGAAAAUUUAGUUCUUUAGAUAAUUUCCUAUGGUACCCU